UAAAGCGUGCGCAGGCGGUUAUGUAAGACAGAUGUGAAAUCCCCGGGCUCAACCUGGGAACUGCAUUAGUGACUGCAUAGCUGGAGUACGGCAGAGGGGGAUGAAUUCCGCGUGUAGCAGUGAAAUGCGUAGAUAUGCGGAGGAACACCGAUGGCGAAGGCAAUCCCCUGGGCCUGUACUGACGCUCAUGCACGAAAGCGUGGGGAGCAAACAGGAUUAGAUACCCUAGU
rnacentral:rRNA from 1 species